rfam:Lepisosteus oculatus linkage group LG11, whole genome shotgun sequence.
GUCGGCAGCCAUAUCACCCUGCAACUCACAACUGGCAACCCACUGAAUCUCAGCAGGUGUGAGCCUGGUCAGUACCUGAAUAGAGGACCUCCUGGGAAAAACUAAGGUUGCUGCUGGAA